rnacentral:lncRNA from 1 species
GUCCUCCAUGCUGUAGGCGAAUGCGGUACGCUUGCGGGCGCGUACGACGGCUUUGAGAGCAUCCUUGGUUUCAUUGUUCAUGCUGAUGCUAUUGCCCCAGAUCCAUCCUCCAUCAGGAUCCUUCUGGUAGCGCUCAUAGGCUGUUGCUGCCAUGUUGCCUUCAGGCGUAAAGGAGGAUACACUGGCAAGUGAGGCGGCUGGGCUGUAGCUUUCCC